rnacentral:rRNA from 1 species
AAUAGAUACCCUGGUAGUCCACGCCCUAAACGAUGUCUACUAGUUGUCGGGUCUUAAUUGACUUGGUAACGCAGCUAACGCGUGAAGUAGACCGCCUGGGGAGUACGGUCGCAAGAUUAAAACUCAAAGGAAUUGACGGGGACCCGCACAAGCGGUGGAUGAUGUGGAUUAAUUCGAUGCAACGCGAAAAACCUUACCUACCCUUGACAUGUCAGGAACCUCCGAGAGAUUGGAGGGUGCCCGAAAGGGAGCCUGAACACAGGUGCUGCAUGGCUGUCGUCAGCUCGUGUCGUGAGAUGUUGGGUUAAGUCCCGCAACGAGCGCAACCCUUGUCAUUAGUUGCUACGAAAGGGCACUCUAAUGAGACUGCCGGUGACAAACCGGAGGAAGGUGGGGAUGACGUCAAGUCCUCAUGGCCCUUAUGGGUAGGGCUUCACACGUCAUACAAUGGUACAUACAGAGGGCCGCCAACCCGGCGAGGGGGAGCUAAUCCCAGAAAGUGUAUCGUAGUCCGGAUCGCAGUCUGCAA